CAAUAGCGUAUAUUAAAGUUGUUGCAGUUAAAAAGCUCGUAGUUGGAUUUCUGGUUGAAGCGACCGGUCGGGCGUUGAUUCGUCUGCACUGGAGUCGGUUUUGGCCAUCCUCUAGGAAAGUGCGUCUGGUAUUAAGUUAUCGGGCGUAUGAUCCUGGUCUUUUACUGUGAAAAAAUUAGAGUGUUUAAAGCAGGCCUUCGCCUUGAAUACAUUAGCAUGGAAUAAUAAGAUAGGACUUUGGUCUAUUUUGUUGGUUUGCAGACCGAAGUAAUGAUUAAUGGGGAUAGUUGGGGGUAUUUAUAUUCCGAUGUCAGAGGUGAAAUUCUUAGAUUUUCGGAAGAUAAACUUAUGCGAAAGCAUUUACCAAGGAUGUUUNCAUUA
rnacentral:rRNA from 1 species